GGAGGGGUGGCCGAGUGGCCGAAGGCAGCGGUUUGCUAAAUCGCCGUAUUCCGCGAGGGAUACCGGGGGUUCGAAUCCCCCCCCCUCCGCCA
rnacentral:tRNA from 1 species